CCUACGGGGGGCAGCAGUGGGGAAUAUUGGGCAAUGGGCGCAAGCCUGACCCAGCAACACCGCGUGAAGGAAGAAGGCUUUCGGGUUGUAAACUUCUUUUGUCAGGGAAGAGAAGAAGACAGUACCUGACGAAUAAGCCACGGCUAACUACGUGCCAGCAGCCGCGGUAAUACGUAGGUGGCAAGCGUUGUCCGGAUUUACUGGGUGUAAAGGGCGUGUAGCCGGGUUGACAAGUCAGAUGUGAAAUCCUGCGGCUUAACCGCGGAACUGCAUUUGAAACUGUUGAUCUUGAGUACUGGAGAGGCAGGUGGAAUUCCUAGUGUAGCGGUGAAAUGCGUAGAUAUUAGGAGGAACACCAGUGGCGAAGGCGGUCUGCUGGACAGCAACUGACGGUGAGGCGCGAAAGCGUGGGGAGCAAACAGGAUUAGAUACCCCGGUAGUC
rnacentral:rRNA from 1 species